UCCCGUUUGACACGGGCAGUCCCUUUAGAGUGCCCAACUUAGUGAUGGCAACUAAAGGCAAGGGUUGCGCUCGUUGCGGGACUUAACCCAACAUCUCACGACACGAGCUGACGACAGCCAUGCAGCACCUGAACCAGAGGUCCCCGAAGGGAAGACCUUAUUUCUAAGGCUGUCCUCUGUUGUCUAGCCCGGGUAAGGUUCUUCGCGUUGCGUCGAAUUGAACCACAUACUCCACCGCUUGUGCAGGCCCCCGUCAAUUUCUUUGAGUUUUAAUCUUGCGACCGUACUUCCCAGACAGCACAUUUAUCGCGUUAGCUUCGCCACAAAAGGGGUCGAUUCCUUUUACAGCAAAUGUGCACCGUUUACAGCGUGGACUAC
rnacentral:misc_RNA from 1 species